UACGUAGGGGGCAAGCGUUGUCCGGAAUCAUUGGGCGUAAAGAGCGUGUAGGCGGUCCGGUAAGUCCGCUGUAAAAGUCAAGGGCUCAACCCUUGAAAGCCGGUGGAUACUGCCGGGCUAGAGUCCGGAAGAGGCGAGUGGAACUCCUGGUGUAGCGGUGAAAUGCGCAGAUAUCAGGAAGAACACCUACGGCGAGGGCAGCUCGCUGGGACGGUACUGACGCUGAGACGCGAAAGCGUGGGGAGCAAACAGG
rnacentral:rRNA from 1 species